ACCACAGAUAUGCCAGUAUCGCAACAAGAAUCUUAAUCAAUUCACCUCACACAAGUCCUUGCCCUGAUUCCAGUCCUUGCCCUGACUCCACUCUUCACUCUGACUCCAAUACUCGACCUGACUCCACUCCUCGUGCUGUCUACAACAGAACCUGUGGUUCCAGUCUUGUGCCCUGGCUGAUGAUGUUUACACCAGGAUUUUCUAUUCUCAUUUCAUUUUUUUCCUUUAUUUUUAUUUAUCAUUUGUGUCGGAAAACAGAACAAGAACUUCAA